rnacentral:rRNA from 1 species
UACGUAGGGCGCAAGCGUUAUCCGGAAUUAUUGGGCGUAAAGAGCUCGUAGGCGGUUUGUCGCGUCUGCUGUGAAAUCCCGAGGCUCAACCUCGGGUCUGCAGUGGGUACGGGCAGACUGGAGUGCGGUAGGGGAGCAUGGAAUUCCUGGUGUAGCGGUGGAAUGCGCAGAUAUCAGGAGGAACACCGAUGGCGAAGGCAGUUCUCUGGGCCGUAACUGACGCUGAGGAGCGAAAGCGUGGGGAGCGAACAGG